AGAGAAAACAGGUUCAGGGAGGUUAAGUGAUUUGCUUAAGGUCACACAGCACAUUCCAAAGUUAUUUAUGGAAGCACAGCCUACUUUGGGGUGGGGGAAGGGAGGCUGCGUUCUGGUUAAAUGUUAGACUUUUACCAAAAGGAGAAAACAAAGAGGCAAACCAAAAGAGAAAUUCCACAGAGAGUAAAUUGUGCUCUGCACAGGGACUUUUGCGAGAACUCUGGGAAAUAAGGCAUGCGCUCUCUCUCUCUCUGUCUUCUGGGACCAGCCAACAGGGAGGACAUGAGCCUGGAGCCGCCAAAGGCCACCACGCGAAGGGCGCCCAAGAGAGAGAAGGCAGAACAGAGACUGGGAGCUCCCCACUCAUCUCUGUCGCUCCAGGGCCUGGAGCUUGGCUCACCUGGUGGCAAAACCUUGUCCCAACGCCACUUAGAGAAUAAUCCAUAUUUUCUUUACUCAUCUGAAAUGGUGCUGCAUCCUCAAAAUUCCCCUGGCCUGUUUUUGGAUUUUCUGCUCUGUUCCAUGACAUCUGUUUCGUCAGGGGCCGUUUCAGUUGGUGAUCCCUGAUUUGGAGGAAUACUUCUGUGCUGUUUAACAAGGAAGCUGUAGUCAUCAAUAGCUUGGACCCUCGAGCCUUCAGUUUGAAUUACUGACUCCAGCAGCGACUUCAACUCUCUGCCUCAGUUUCUUCAUCUGUAAGUGACAUAAACUGAGGUAAACAUCAGUGACCAACACCUCUCCUAAGGGGCCAAGGGUCCCAACCCAAGUAGCAGAGGUGGCAGGGACAGCAGCAGCAGGGCCCCGACGGCGAGGGAGCGGGCCUGGCCCG